rnacentral:rRNA from 1 species
UACAGAGGGGGCAAGCGUUAUUCGGAAUUAUUGGGCGUAAAGGGCGCGUAGGCGGCUUGGCAAGUGGAUGGUGAAAUCCCUCGGCUUAACCGAGGAACUGCCCUCCAAACUGUUUGGCUUGAGACCGGGAGAGGUGAGUGGAAUUCCCAGUGUAGCGGUGAAAUGCGUAGAUAUUGGGAGGAACACCAGUGGCGAAGGCGGCUCACUGGACCGGUACUGACGCUGAGGCGCGAAAGCGUGGGGAGCAAACGGG